rnacentral:rRNA from 1 species
CCUACGGGGGGCAGCAGUGAGGAAUAUUGGUCAAUGGGCGAGAGCCUGAACCAGCCAAGUCGCGUGAAGGAUGACGGCCCUACGGGUUGUAAACUUCUUUUGUCGGGGAGCAAUUGAGUCCACGUGUGGUCUUAUCGAGAGUCCCUGAAGAAAAAGCAUCGGCUAACUCCGUGCCAGCAGCCGCGGUAAUACGGAGGAUGCGAGCGUUAUCCGGCUUUAUUGGGGUAAAAGGGUGCGUAGGCGGAAUAUCAAGUCAGCGGUAAAAAUUCGGGGCUAAACCCCGUCGUGCCGUUGAAACUGAUGGUCUUGAGUGGGCGAGAAGUAUGCGGAAUGCGAGGUGUAGCGGUGAAAUGCAUAGAUAUCACGCAGAACUCCGAUUGCGAAGGCAGCAUACCGGCGCCCAACUGACGCUGAAGCACGAAAGCGUGGGUAUCGAACAGGAUUAGAUACCCCAGUAGUC